GGCCCUCGAGGCCUGGAGUUGCAUAUAAAUGCAUGGCUCACUUCCAAAAACAUUAUUAGAACCAUAAGUUUCCUGUCAUUCCAAAAUCAAGUUUUAAUUUGUCUGUAUAUUACUUAAAUACUGAAUUAAUACAUUGAUGUUUCUGGCUUCAACAAAACGAGGAGACAUGCGAUGUCUGCAGAGGAGCAAAAGAUGCAAUGCAGAGGACAAGCCUCGCUGUAAUCCGACACAGAUCCCAGAAAUCUUCACUUCAACUUGUGCUCCAAUUGGCUGUGCCGUGCCUGAGCCCUGCUACACUGGCUCCCAUCCCAAAGUUGGCCUCCAAGCAGCUCGGGGAGCCGAAGGGGGCCCGGUCAGCGAGUUCGCAGUGGCAGGCUGCCAUUUCUUUCUCCCCAACAUACAUCGCCAUACAUACUGACAUGUUUACACACACAGCAGAGCUCCCCUCCCCUUCUGUGUUUCCAAGAUGUUUUUUUUUUGUUUGUUUGUUUGUUUGUUACACAGGAUUUAUUUUUAUCUGGAUUUCUGUGCUGUUUCUGUUUGUGUAACUAAAUUUAUCUGCAAAUUAUGUAAAGUAACUGUACAUUAGACUUUGGGUACUUUGCUGGAGCUUAAAGGAAAGUAAACAUUGAUUUCGACACAGCAAAUAAGUAAUGAUAAAAAACAACAUUUUCUUCUCAUCAGGAGCUUGUGUCAAGCAAGCAAGGGCAUUUCUAUCUAUCCACAUAUUUUAAAGCAUUAGUGAAAGUCCAUGCAUAUACAUGUGACUGCAGUUAGAAGGGUAAAGCUUCGUCGUGAAAUUUCUCAACUCUUAGACAGGGGCCAGGUUUAGUUCUUCACAAAAGGUCCUAAUACAGCAUGACAAAUUGAUUUUUUUUUUCUUUUUUUUUUUUUUUUUUGUAUAAAAGAGCCACUGGCAGUGCUUCUCUCAGCAUUUUAACACAAAGCAAUGUAUUGCAUCAAUGAGACCUCAAACUGCCAGGUUUGACUGCUGAUCAUUUUACUGGGAUUGUAUCACAAUCUGCUUCAGUGAUUUGAAGCCAAGCUCUGAGUGUUUGGAAGAUCUAUACCUUUGUUCUCACUCUGUAUUUUCCUUACAUUGUGUUUUUUUUUUUUCUUUUACCUUUCUAUUAAUCUUGAUCAUUUUAUGUGAGGCUUUCACUGUUGUGAGCCCCUGUUUGUCUGCGUGGAUUACAUUUGAGCGUAUUUUUAUGUUCAUGAUGUCACUUUCACAUCUGAUUUGGACUUAUUUGUAACUCAAAAGUGAAACAAUAUUAGACUGAUGAUGCUAGUAUUUUGAAAUGUUUGAGUAAAUCGUAUCUUUCAUAGAUACUCCAGUGUUUAUAUGAUGAACUAUAAUCUGAGUUCACAUCCCAGCUGCACAUGACUGAUCCCACUAAACAAUACUGACUCUGUCCCAGUUUAGCAACCUAAAUUAGUCAGCUUCUUAAAAAGAAAAUAUUUCUUCCUAAUGUCUAUAAUCCUUAUUUAUACGCUUGCCGUCAAAUCUGUGACCUUUUGCUGCAAAAUCUACAAUUGUGCAUGAAAAGACUUGAUUUUAGUGAGCCUAUUAUUAAAAUUAAACCCACCUCAUUGUGGAUGUUUUACAGCUGUGGAGAUAACCUUUAAUGAAUUAAUACAGCAUCCAAAUUGUGUGCUGUUGUGCAGCACUGAGCACACAGUUUAUUCAAUCGCACUAAUUUGCUUCACAAAUGCAUGAGUCAUCAGUUUUGUGCAGAUGCUGGAAGUGUUCAUUAUCAGUAGCAGCUGCACAAAGUUGUUAAUGAUGUUGAUUUUGAUCAACCUACAAAACUGCCUGUGAGAAGAACUGCGCCUUACUUAUUCUGUAGGUCGAAAAACCAAUUUGGAAAAACAAAUUGCACUUGUGUCAAGUAGAAAAACAGAUUGCUACUAACCUAAAUUCUUUUUUUUUUUUUUUUUGUCUAAUUUAUUUGGUAAAAUUAAAGAUUUUAUAGUGGAUAUCUGUGGUAAUGGAAAACUAUUGCAACACUGAAAAUUGUCAGAGCUGACAUCAGUAUUUGUUUAGCAGAGUUUAACUUUUGUGGGGGGGGGCUGAUAGUUCCCUCCUGUGACCUUUGAUCAUGCACAUUGGUCCCUUCUUCUUGUGUUUGUAUUUUCCUAAAGUUGUCUAUGUACCCUCUACUGAACUCAACAAGGUUAAAGUGCUGACUUUAUUGAAUUUCUCCAUGAAUUUUUCUUCAUUAUGAAAAGUAUCAAAUAAAAUAAGGGUGAGAGAUU